CUGAAAGUUAAAAAAAAAACAUUAAUGGGAAGCAAUUAUUUAGUUUUCUUAGAAUGAUGUUACAUUCUCCAAUGUUUUUGAUCUUGUACUGUUAUGUCUCUUUGUUUAAGAUGUCAGUGAUGAAAUUGUGAAGAAAUUACCAGGUGAAAUGGUCCAGGUGAUGUGAAGUCUCUGAAAGAGAGAAAGUUCUGUAAAGAAGAUCAACUGGGAACAUCUUGGGAACAUGUCAGCAGAGGAGACCGUUCCAAAGGGAAAACAUAGCCUUGAGGCAGAUCGUCCAAACACAGAGGAGACUAUUCCAAACAGAAGGCAUAGCCAAGAUGCAGAUCUUCCAAACAGUAAGUUAACCAACCUCACUUUAAUUUGAAUGGGUUUUAUCAAUUCUCCUUGUAUCCAGAGUGA
rnacentral:lncRNA from 1 species